GCGCCGGUGGUGUAAUGGCGUAGAGCAUUCUCGCCCGGCCAGCAAGAGGUGCGGGUUCGAGUCACGCCUGGUGCU
rnacentral:tRNA from 1 species